rnacentral:rRNA from 1 species
AUUGAACGCUGGCGGCAUGCCUUACACAUGCAAGUCGAACGGCAGCACGGGAGCAAUCCUGGUGGCGAGUGGCGAACGGGUGAGUAAAGUAUCGGAACGUGCCCAGUCGUGGGGGAUAACGUAGCGAAAGUUACGCUAAUACCGCAUACGAUCUAUGGAUGAAAGCGGGGGAUCGCAAGACCUCGCGCGAUUGGAGAGGCCGAUAUCAGAUUAGGUAGUUGGUGGGGUAAAGGCUCACCAAGCCGACGAUCUGUAGCUGGUCUGAGAGGACGACCAACCACACUGGGACUGAGACACGGCCCAGACUCCUACGGGAGGCAGCAGUGGGGAAUUUUGGACAAUGGGCGCAAGCCUGAUCCAGCCAUGCCGCGUGCAGGAUGAAGGCCUUCGGGUUGUAAACUGCUUUUGUACGGAACGAAAAGGUUUGACUUAAUACGUUGGACUCAUGACGGUACCGUAAGAAUAAGCACCGGCUAACUACGUGCCAGCAGCCGCCGUAAUAC